rnacentral:rRNA from 1 species
CCUACGGGCGGCAGCAGUGAGGAAUAUUGGUCAAUGGGCUUACGCCUGCACCAGCCAAGUCGCGUGAGGGAAGACUGCCCUAUGGGUUGUAAACCUCUUUUGUCAGGGAGCAACGCCGGCUACGUGUAGCCGGACUGAGAGUACCUGAAGAAAAAGCAUCGGCUAACUCCGUGCCAGCAGCCGCGGUAAUACGGAGGAUGCGAGCGUUAUCCGGAAUUACUGGGUGUAAAGGGAGCGUAGGCGGGAUAGCAAGUAGAAGGUUUAAGGUACGGGCUCAACCUGUACAAGCGUCCAAAACUGUCUUUCUUGAGUGGGGUAGAGGUAUGCGGAAGGCCUGGUGUAGCGGGGAAAUGCGUAAAUAUUAGGAGGAACACC